GUCCCCCUUCCCUAGUGGUAGGGCAUCUGCUUUGCAUGCAGAAGAAUCCAAGUUCAAUUCCUGGUGUCCCCAGGUGGGCU